rnacentral:lncRNA from 1 species
AUGCUGAGCAGGAAGGCACCAAAGAAAGCCUUUCUCCAAAGGGGAUGUUUAUUUCAGAGGCACACAGGGGGAAGCUCCACCAGCUGUUUUCCAGGAAAUCAUCCACUUCACCCAGGGUGGGGAUAUGGACAAGACAGAGUCCCGGCCUCCCUGGGAAACUGGUGUGAGGAAGUCCAGUCAGCAACACAACUGAGACCCCGCCGUGCCCAGUAGUGCCAGGCAUAGUGAAGUUAAGGUGAUGGGGAGGGGUGACCAUUGGAGGUGAAGGGACCUGAGAGUGGAGACCAGGACAGGGGAUGGGAAAGCCAAGUCCCUGAGGAAGGGAUGAGCUUAAUAAGUUUGAGGAACAGAAAGGAGGUGACUCCAGAAGGCUUGCCCACAGCUGGGUCUUACAAGGGAUGGAAGCCCUUAGACCUCGAGGAGGGAUGGUGUGGUCUGCUGAUUUCCGUUUUUAUAGGCAGCUUUGGAGGAUGGAUUAGCAGGAGAGGGAGGCGAGCGCUGGAGUAGGAAACCCAACUGGCAGCCGGUCCACCGCUGUCCAGCAAAUCCGGUGUUGACUCGGAAGGUCAGUGGAGACGGAGGGAGUUGAGAGAUGUGGGAUCUGCUUUGGAGGCAGAGACAACAGAAUGGGAGAAAGGAAUCCAGGAUGACGCCGACGUCUUGGGGUGAGCACAGCAGGGGGGGCAUGGUGAGGGGAGGAUCUGGGUCCUCUCUGGGAAGUUUCAAAUGAAGGAAGGACGAAGAACUUGGGGAUCAUAUUGGAUUUGUGUGUGUGUGUGUGUGUGUGUGUGGCGUGCGGAAGUUCCAGGGCCAGGGAUCAAACCCAUGCCACUGUUGUAACGAGAGCCACAGCAGUAACAAUGCCGGAUCCCCAACCCUGCUGAGCCACCAGGGAACUCCACGUUGGCACUGUCUAAUGUUAAUAAUUAUACAUGCAGAAUAGCGAACAAAUCAGCAUCCAGCUUGAUAAAUUUUCCCAAAGUGACAGAUCCCGGUAAUCAGCACCCCAAAAGUCCCUCUGUGCCCCCUCCAUUCUUCUUUCCCCAAGGUCACCAUUGUCCCAGCCUGACAUACUUUUUAUUGACAUUUGAAAACCUAUGAUUAAGAGAUAAUAAUCAGAGGUAAGCGUGGGGUAUUUGCUUAUGUAAUUCUCAGAAAAAUACCUCCCUUGUUUUUGUAGACUCGGGUUUUGUUCUGCCAUGAGUCAUUUCGA